rnacentral:tRNA from 1 species
GCGCCUGUGGUGGAACUGGUAGACACGCUAGCAUGAGGGGCUAGUGGCCUUAGGGCUGUGCUCGUUCAAGUCGAGUCAGGCGCACCA